ACUGUCCCUUCACAGAGAGUGGUUAUUGCUCAUUAUGUGACUGGCCUGUUCCUGCUCUUCUACUGGCGAAUAAUCUCUUCUGACAGAGAUUGGAAACGUGGUGUUUUCGGGAGCUGCCGCUUUAUUGCCCUACUGCAAAGGCAAAGAGCUUUUGAUGCAGACAUGAGAGGUCUGGCUUCAGAUUUCAUUUAUUUUGACGCUUGGUUUUCAGACCUAUCAUUGGAAAAAGCUUCUUUGCCUCCUGGUUCCCUCAGGAGCUUCCUCUACCCCACCAUCUGAAUUCUGAUUCUCCAUCAUCGUACAAGCCUCUUCUGUGACCUGUGGAAUCCUGUCCCUUUCUUUCCGAUGAUGGAGUAUGAGGCCCAUGGUCCUUGGAAGCCUUAUCUGAGAACUAUCUGGAUCACAUUAUACACUGAUCUGCUCCUGGCUUCGAAAAGAGGCUUUGUUCUGUUAUAACCCCACUUAAAGGAAUCUAUGUAAACACUCUGGUACAAUGUAUAUGCCUGGCUUUUGAAACCUGCUCCAGCAACAUAAACACCCUUUGCAUAACACGCAUGCUCGCUUACCGUGCACAGAAAUAUAAUUACAGGUUGAGCACAAAACCAAUAGUUGUAGUGCCUAAAAUACUGAAAGAGGGACACCUGGGUGGCUCACUCGUGAAGCGUCUGCCUUCAGCUCAGGUCAUGACCUCAGGGUCCUGGGGUCGAGUCCUGCAUCGGGCUCCCUGCUCAG